GGCCGGCUUUGACUUGGGUCCAGUGCUAGAGCAACAGUGACUCUUGGGCACUGAUGUGCAUUUCUAGCUUCAGAACCCAUGACUUUUUAUGAUUCUUCAGUGUCAUCCCCUCAAUGGCCUCGGGGACCGAUACUGAGACCCUUCUCAGGAUGUGACUUCUGUAAACCAUUAAGCAGCCGCUGUGUUUUACAAUCUGCUUCCUUUUUCCUCCCUUCUCCCUUCAGAGAGCCACUUUAGCACCACGACUAGAAGGACAGGAACAACCAGAGCCCCAUCAAAUCCAGCAGAGAGAGGGGACCACAUCACCACUACUACAACGAGAAGGCCAGGAACAACUAGAGCACCAUCAAAUCCUAUGGAACUUGAUAGGUUUGACUUGGAAGAUGCCUUGGAUGAUCAGAAUGAUCUAGAUGGCCCCAAAAAGCCAAGUACAGGAGAAGGAGGAGGUUGGUCAGAGAAGGAUCUCGAAGAUAUCUUGGGAGGCGGGGGAUACAAACCUGAGAAGGAUAAAGGAAGAAGAUGGAGGAGAAGAAAAUCGAACCGUGGUUUGCCAAGGUGCUGCGGUUAUCCGACGAGGGUGGAAAAGAAAGAAACGAUAUCUCACCUUGUUCAAUGACAUUUUGGUGGUAUCCAGUAAACUGUAAGUAUACGCAUCAUGCUUUCUUUACUGUAAGAGGCUACUCAGUGGAAAGGCCUUAAGGUACAAAACUGUUUAUAACUUCCUUUAUUUUUGAGAUUAUAAUUACUUUACAUUCUCCUUCUUUUUCCUCUUCCAUGUCCUUCCACAUCCUUCCAUAUACCCCUCCUUGUUCUCUUUUGAAAUCAUGGCUUUCUGGUUUUUUUUUUUUUAUUACUCAUUCUUACUCAUUAUUUUAUAUGUAAGCUAACAUAAGAUACACAUAUAUAAUAGAUAUUCAUGGAUACAUAUAUAUGUACAGUUUCUAAGUACGUAAAUAUAACCUACUCAGUCAGUAUAAUAUUGCUUGUAUUUGUGUUUUCAGGAAUGUGUAUUUGGUAUUAGAUAGGCAAUCUAAUUGACAAUCCUAGGGGAGAUUUCUCUUACUCUCGUUUCCUUAGUGGCAUAUACUUCUUUGAGUAGGGUUGAUGCUUACUGGGCUACUCCUAUAUAUUUCUCAAUUUGUUUUGACACAUUCUUUGGGCACAUUUAAAAAAUUAAUUAAUUAAGGUACCACUCUGCUGUUUGAAUCUGGUGAAAGAUUAGCGACAAGCUACCAAGGACAUAGUUAUGCAGGC
rnacentral:lncRNA from 1 species